CCCCCCCCAAAUGACCUCUCUCAUUCUCUCACAUACCACUCUUCUCCCCCCUCUCACACUCCACCUUACGCCACCAUCAGAAAUUGCCAACGGCAUCGGCACCACUCCAAACAGCCCCAAAAUACCACCAUACAAUCCCCAUCACUCCCUCGUCUCUAAUACACAAUAAUCUUCUCCGAAAACCUCACCGUUUACCACGUCUAAUAGAUCUGAAAAUCACCAAAAAACCUAAUACAUUCCCUUUUAUGAUUCUCCUGAUUUUUAGCCCAUUUGAGGUUGAUACUUACAUCAAUCGAAUCCUUAAGAUGAACGCUAUCAUUUCAUGUCGGUCUUUGGCCAUUUCAUGAUCGGCAGAAAAUGGUCAAAAUUCCAUAAACCAUCCAAGCUCGCCGCUUCGUUCCUCCUGUUGUUAUGCUGACUUGAAAAGGCUAUUGUUAUACGCCGCAUUGGCCAAAAAUGGAUAACCUCCGGCUAGUGCUCGUAUAGCAAUAAUCUUUGCCUGCCGGAGUCCUGUUGGAUUGCCUGCGAUGUCCACUUCUGUCGAUUCAGGUAUUUCUGCACCCGGUAGCGGGUAUUGGUUGAUCAGCGGCAGAGUCUUUGGAGUUUAGCAAGGUAGCUGCCCGAUGUCCGCAGCACUACUUUUCUCCCUUUGAUGUCAUUAGACUGUAUUUAGUACAUUUACAGAAAGUCCGUUGUAUUUUAGACCUUAGUAGAUGCUCGUAACUUGUGACACCCCGAUGUCGGGCUAUAUUCAUUUCCACACUUGUUUUAUUUCGCUAAAUCUAUACUUGUUGGGGAUUAUCCUUAUAAAUGACUUAAAUUGACUUA